AUCGAGUCUUGAACAUGUUUAAGACUGAAGAGUGCGAACAAAAUUUUGAAGGAGUUUGUUUAGCCUUUAAGUGCCUUUUUAUUCUGGUUCUGCUUUUUAUUUUAGGAUAAUUUUUUAUGGAGAUCCAAGUCAAAACACAACUACUGGGACUGAAACGGAUUAAGAAAUUGAAUGUUAUGUGCACGUCAAGGUCCCUAUGUUCAUCACGGCACAUCUUGAGAGCUUCUGAAGUGUGCUGCCAUCUCUUCGUUUCAUCCCUUAAUUUUGAUGUGAACUGGAUUUCAGUUCUCAGAGGAAGCUUGAAAGUCAACCGGUGGAUAAGGACUACAGUAAAGGACCUGCAGAGCUGGAGUGGGUGUCUGAUGGCUGAGCUUCUACUCCAGAGGAAAUUGUCCAUUUGGACAACUACAGUCAAAACAGAGUAUAAGAGAGCACUCAGAAAGAAAGAGGCUCUGGAGGAAAACGCUUACCAUCAAAUUCUUGCCCUUUCUGUGAAGUUUCAGGGCCUCUGAAGAACUCAGCUUUGGAAACACGGCGUAACCAAGACCUUGUGAGGUAAGAAGUUCCUAUCCUCUACGUGUUCCUCUAGCGCGCCAUACAUUCAGUACCGUUCCCUUUAUUUUCUGUGGGUAUUCCCCUGUCUGCAGGAGCGGCUGGGCAUUUGUGCUCGAAGGUGAGACUCGUUCUGGAGAUGCUCCAGGUCACCACGUUGCUCUGGUGCAACUAUGUCCAAGGCAGAAGCCAUGUGCUGUGCCAGCCCUGCAAAAACCAAGCUGUGGGUGUAGGCACGUUGCCACAAACUCACAGCAGCACCUUGGUGACAUCUUAACCUGGUUCCUGUGCCUCUGGGACGGGACAGCAUGAACACGGCCAGCCGGACGUGGGUCGUGGUCAUGUCCCCCUGCCUGGCGCUCAUCCGGCUGCACCCAGGGGGCUGGCUGGAGCACCGGGCGCGCAAGGAGAAAGUGAGAGCUGGGUUUGACCGGUCAGGAGGCGCGACGGUUCGGCGGGG
rnacentral:lncRNA from 1 species